UUGACAACUUUAAAAUGGAAAUGGCCUCAAGCUCACAGCACUGAAAAGUGAAAGAACUAGAAAUUGUGUCCAAAAUGGCCGACCAAUGUUUUUAAAGUUAUCUACUCACGUUCGCAUACGGCGAUCCGUGGACCGGCUAUAUCCAGGUUGCAUCCGGUUUAUUUGGCCACACUCACAUGCGAACUAGCACAGAGAGCAGCGCGAGCAAAAACGACACCAUCACGUAAUCCAAAAACAUGUUAAACUGCAGUACUGAAUCAAGUCAAAAAGCUUGCUUCCAGACCGGACAGACAGACGCCAUAAUGGGACAGAUACAAAGAAGAGUCCUCUAUGGCAAGGUUUCUCAAACUCGGUCCUGUGUGCUGCGUGGCUAUAUUGACGGAAAACAGAUUCCAUGAGAUUGAAUGGUGGGUUUUUGCACAGAUGGGGCAGGCAGGCCUCUGCACUCUAGUUCUGAAUGUGUCUCCCUCUGCCAUAUGGACACAUUGUAUGAUACAUCGAGAGCAACUGGCGGUAAAAGAGCUGAGCACAGAACUCUGAGAUAUACUGCAACAGAAGGUCUACAGUAGCUUCAACAGCACUCUGUAGGGAAGCAUCAUGGUGUAGCCGGAGUACAGCUACUUUCCAAGUCAAGGUAAGCUUUUGGUUUUAUUAAUUCAUUGCCAUCGGGGCCCGCCAGUGUAACUGUUAAACUUUUGCUGAUUGUACACUCUACUGCAUGAUUGUAGCGGGUUUACUAAUGCAUUAGUUCUAGUAGCAAUAUUGACUAGCUAUGACGUUUGUCACCAUAUUAUCUUUAAUGUAGGCUGUGUGUAGUGGUUAGCGGUCAUGAUAUGAAGGUUUAGCUUGGAAAGUUAGCUGAUGCGUUGUGCACUGAAGUCUACAAGCGAGGGAAAAUGUGAGAGUAGGAGAGUGCGUAAAUGGGAGAAAGAAUUCCACAAUGAGCAAAGUGAUAUUGCUGUUUGUAUGUGGCUGCUAUGAAAGAGAACUGCGUGUGAUCAGGGGUGUAUUCAUUCCACCGAUUCUGUUAAAAAAAAAGUUUCUUAAAAAGAAGCAAACAGAACGAAACGGGGAUAAACAUACAUUAAUUUGUCCAAUAGAAACUCUCGUUUGCAACUGUUGGACUAAUGAUUACACCCUAGAUCAGCUAGAUGCAAGCAAGAGUUGUGCAAUGUGAUAUUGAAUGUGUCACUGUCUGCCACCUUGAUUACUCACAUUUUUCUCUCGACCUGUUUACGUUGUACGUUGUAAACCUUCAUUCAUUGGCUAAGCUGUAGCAACCUCAUGAUAGGAAUGGGGAGAAUUUGAGUAUCAUGUGGUAGCCUAAACCUAUCGAUGUUUACAUUGAACUGGAUGAAUUAAAUAUGAAUGACAGUCAUCCAAUAUCCUCCCUCAUAUUAAACGACCCCGACCACCACUGGUAGUUAUAGAGGGGGAGUGUUGGAAAGAUUUUUUGCAUUGAGAGAGGAACUGUUGUCAUUCACAAUGUAUGUAAAAUAUAAUAAUAAUAAACAGACUUGGUUGACUUUCUGUGUAAUGAAAAGAAAAUGUGCAUCCUUGCUUAUGUAACAGACAUAUUUGGGAAACUGAAAACUGAACGCAAGCAGACAGAUGAGUGACCAAAUCCAGGGGAGUCUGAAACUAUGCCCCCUUCACUUGGCUGUGCAUGUUUCUAGCAGAAAACAGCAUCAGUUGGAUGUGACAGCAGAGAUGAGGUGCACACUUUCGACCACGCCCCCUGACUUUGAGACACGUGGAUGCAUCAUGCAGUAAGCACACCCAUCUCCCCACAUUAAAGGACUGUAUGUUAUGAUAUCAAAAUGCGGUCGUGGGCCAAAAGCGUUUGUGAAGCACGGGUGUAGGUCUACUUGGACACCGGCAAUGCACAUGACAGUCAUGGAACAUCUGGGCUGCAGGGCCAUCGUGGCCUUUUGUUUUGUGGGGACACUUAUUGCAGGUGCACAUCCUCCUGGAUCAGUCCUGGGGGGAGACUCAAGCAUUUCAAAGAAAACUCCUGAUGGAAUAUGAUAAUAACCCUGCCUCAACCACCACUGCCCACCCCACCGUGGCUGGUUCCUCCACAGGCUCUACCUACCUGAUUGCAGCACUGGCCUCCGCCUUCACUGUCUCCCUGUUCCUCGUGGUGGCCUUCAAGUGCCGCCUAUUCCACCGCUACCUGGCCAGCAACCGCCACGCCCUGCUCCCCGAGGGGGACACAGCCAGCCAGUACAGCCCAGACGAGGUGUCCUUCCCUGGGCACGGCAUGGUAGGCAGAGGGGGUGAAGGCAAUAGGACCCAUCGAGGGUUGGAUACAGAUGACGACGAUGGCUUCAUAGAGGAUAAUUACAUCCAGGCCAGUGAGAGGGCGAGAGCGGAGAGUCACGUGGAUGACGAGAUGGAAGGAGAGGAUAGUGAUGAUGAUCUCCUGAUUUGAGGUGAUUUAGGACUGGUUGAAAGGAAUAGUUAAUAGUUGACUUGAUGACAGUUGUGGGGUCACUUCAUAGAGUCCAAUGCUGUCCAGACCAGGCCUGGGUUCAAAUAAUAUUGGAUUUCUUUCAAAUAUUUCAGCUGUGCUUAAUUGAGCUUGUGUGACACAGCUGAACCAAAUGAAUCGUCUCAAAAGUGAAAAACCCCACCCAACAGGCACUCCAGGCAGGCUCAAUAAAACACUCAAAGUAUUUUAAAGAAAACAAUUACUAUUUGAACCCAGGUCAGGUGAGACUAUGUCGAAAGAUGGCAGAGAUACUGAGAAAAGAUCAUGGUCCCACUUAACAACAUACUGUAUAAUUACUGUAUACUUUAAAGACUUUAUAUCAAAAAUAUAACAUUCAUCAUAAAUACUUAAUUAGGCUGUUUGAGAAGGUUUGAAUCUUAAGCAACCUGCACACACAUGAUUUGAAGUACAAUAGACCAACAUAGCUACUGUAGUAGGUCAAAGCUGUGCGUUGUAAAACCUUGGUAUGACAUGGGUGAAGUACGUAUCGUGGCGCUCAUGUGAAUUUCCUUUAUUUUUUGGCUGCAUACCAAUGCCUACUUCUCACUCAAAACAGUUUUUCAUCUUUAAUAUAACAUAUAGUGAUUUACAAUUCAUUUGUAUGUAAAUACUGUAAAACCAUGAUGAUAUAUUAGGUCAUACAAUCUGAUUCUUUGCCAAAUGUGGCAUAGUAACCCCUUUAAAAAGGGUUUAUGAAGGCUUCGUUAACAGUUAAAAGUGUUUCCUUUAAAGUGGGACAUUUUUCAAGCGGGGGACUAAAUGAGCCUGAGCCACAUUGAAGAUGAGUUGUUACUGUUUGGUAUGCAAUGAUUUUUAUUUUCUGAAGGCCGCAAUGCAAAAUAAAUAUCCUUGAUUCUUUUUGUAUAUACAGUACCAGUCAAAAGUUUGGACACACCUACUCAUUCAAGGGUUUAUCGUUAUUUUAAAAAAGAAAACUAUUUUCUACAUUGAAAAGCAUUCCUCAUGAAGCUGGUUGAGAGAAUGAC